AUCACCUGGGGAGCUUGUUAAAUGCAAAUUCUGUUUCAGGAAGUCUGGGAUGGGACCUAAGAUUUUGCAUUUCUAAUAAGUGCCAGGUGAUGCCAA
rnacentral:pre_miRNA from 1 species